CCGACCUGCACCAAGCCAUCGGCAAGGUGCUCUGGAAAGAGGGUGACCUAGCCGGAGCGCGCUACCACCUGAUACGCUCUGACGACGGCCAGACAUGCGCGCGCCUCCUGGUCGACCUGCACACGCAGCGGGGCGCCGCCGACGAGAUCGACCUGUUCAUCACACAGGCCGUCCUACAGUACCUGGCGCUGAAGAACAGCCACGCAGCGGCCGCCUGCUUCGCCGGCUACCUCAAGUGGCACCCGCUGGUGCAGGCCGACGCGCCGCCCUUCACGCUGCCCCUCUUCAACUUCCUCCACUACCUGCUGAAGGCGGUGGAGAGGUGAGA